UCAGUUUCACAUUCAGAUUUCAGUCCUGAACAAUGUUAAAACUACAUUAAGACUUGCAGCAACGAGCAAAUCUUCGGUCCAUUUGAUACAGUGUUAGAUUCAGUUUAUCAAAUGCAGCAACGAGCAGUUUUAAAACUAACAUAAUUUCAGUGAGCAUACAUCACUGCUAGCUUAAACAUCAGAUUCAGGUUUCAGAUUUCACAUCCUGAACAUGUGCUUGAACACCAGAUUUCAUAGUUCUGAACAUACAUCCAGAUUCUCCUGAACUUUGCGAUGAACGACAAGUCAAUGGCAGCCCCUUAUUUAUGAUGAAUUUGAUUCUCCUGAACAUCAAAUUUUAGUGCUGAACUUUUCCAAGUCAAUGGCAGCUGCUCUGAAGAACUGUCCUGAAUAUUAGAACAAAGUUUCAGGAAUUUACUUUGUAGCUUAUAUCAAGCUUUUUCAUGCCGAUCAUUUGUUUCAAUAACAUACAUGCAGCUAGCAAACAUGCGGACAUGCACGUGUACUGAACUGGGACAUGCAGCUAGCGAGCACUGAUGAAAAUAAGCUAUUGUAUAGAUUGAUACUACUCCCUCCGUUCACUUCUAUAAGACGUCCUAGACAUUUAGGACAGCACUUAAAACAGUUUAAUUUCAGCUGCCUAAAACGACUUACAAAAGUGAACAGAGGGAGUAAUAAUCUUCAGCAAUUGAGAUUAAUGGUUAUAUAAAAAUUAAGAGUGGCAUGUACUAGUACUAAAAAUGAAGGAUAUUCGGUUUGGUCCUUUCACUAAAACAAGCAGGUAGCAUGGGGACUUCAGUAUCUACUAACUUCAAUUCUCUGGAGAUGCCACUUACUCUUUGUUGCUAAGUAGGUCUUGACUAG
rnacentral:lncRNA from 1 species